rnacentral:lncRNA from 12 species
CAUUUCGCUUAGGACUCUACUGACCUUUUGAGAGAAAGUCUUCCUGGCUAACCUGGCAACAAGCAUUCAGCCAGCAGGAUGCACCUCAGCCUGAGAUGCCCGGACCAUAGUCCUUAUAUUGAUGUAUCUUUGCUUCCCCUACACCUGAACCCCAGAGAUCACCCCAGAAAGUGAUGUACCUACCAAAGAUGGAUGAGCCUCCAUGACCCCAUGAGAACAGAGGCAACCAGGGAAAAUCAACAGGGAUUGUUAAUAGAGAUAAGCCCACGCUGGACAGCAGAAGCCAUUGGCCAGGCACACAGCAGAGGAUCCAGCCUGCUGUUUGUAAUAAACUCUGAAAUGUGUGUCUAG